rnacentral:rRNA from 1 species
UGGGGAAUUUUGGACAAUGGGGGAAACCCUGAUCCAGCCAUCCCGCGUGUGCGAUGAAGGCCUUCGGGUUGUAAAGCACUUUUGGCAGGAAAGAAACGUCAUGGGUUAAUACCCCGUGAAACUGACGGUACCUGCAGAAUAAGCACCGGCUAACUACGUGCCAGCAGCCGCGGUAAUACGUAGGGUGCAAGCGUUAAUCGGAAUUACUGGGCGUAAAGCGUGCGCAGGCGGUUCGGAAAGAAAGAUGUGAAAUCCCAGAGCUCAACUUUGGAACUGCAUUUUUAACUACCGGGCUAGAGUGUGUCAAAGGGAGGUGGAAUUCCGCGUGUAGCAGUGAAAUGCGUAGAUAUGCGGAGGAACACCGAUGGCGAAGGCAGCCUCCUGGGAUAACACUGACGCUCAUGCACGAAAGCGUGGGGAGCAAACAGG